rnacentral:rRNA from 1 species
UGGGGAAUAUUGCGCAAUGGGGGAAACCCUGACGCAGCGACGCCGCGUGAGCGAAGAAGGCCUUAGGGUUGUAAAGCUCUGUUUUAAGGGACGAAUGUCGUGGGGAGUAAUAUGCUCUGCGAAUGACGGUACCUUAAGAGGAAGCCCCGGCUAACUACGUGCCAGCAGCCGCGGUAAGACGUAGGGGGCGAGCGUUGUCCGGAAUUACUGGGCGUAAAGAGCACGUAGGCGGGAACUUAAGUCAGGUGUGAAAGACCGGGGCUCAACUCCGGGGUUGCACUUGAAACUGGGUUUCUUGAGGGCAGGAGAGGAAAGCAGAAUUCCUGGUGUAGCGGUGAAAUGCGUAGAAAUCAGGAGGAAUACCAGUGGCGAAGGCGGCUUUCUGGACUGACCCUGACGCUGAGGGGCGAAAGCGUGGGUAGCAAAC